GGGGAUAUAGCUCAGUUGGUAGAGUGCUUGCCUAGUAUUCACAAGACCCUGGGUUCAAUUCCCAGCACCACCC
rfam:Ictidomys tridecemlineatus contig099509, whole genome shotgun sequence.